UAGCUGAUCCACCAAUAUAACCAAAUAAUGUAGAUAAAAUAGAAUAGGCCAAAUACCAAAAACGAAACCAUUCUUUUACCUGAGUAUGGGAGACAGAAAAGGUUCAACCAAAGCAAUAGAAAUAGUACCGUAAGGGAAAGCUGAAAGAGAAAUGAAAUAACCCAUAUAAGUAACAAAAAGCAAAGACUAAACCUUGUACCUUUUGCAUCAUGAUUUAGCCAGUAAACACAAGCAAAGAGACCUUUAGUUUGAAACCCCGAAACCAGGUGAGCUACCCCGAGACAGCCUAUUAAGGGCCAACCCGUCUCUGUGGCAAAAGAGUGGGAAGAGCUCCGGGUAGAAGUGACAGACCUACCGAACCUGGUGAUAGCUGGUUGCCUAAGAAAUGAAUAGAAGUUCAGCCUCGUACACCUCAAAUCAAGCAAGCACUAAUCAAGAUACCAAGAGAAAAACACGAGAGUUAGUUAAAGGGGGUACAGCCCCUUUAACAAAGGACACAACCUUAUUCAGGAGGAUAAAGAUCAUAAUAUAUAAAACAUACUGUUCUAGUGGGCCUAAAAGCAGCCACCUAAACAGAAAGCGUUAAAGCUCAGACAGAAAAAAGUUUAUUAUUCUGAUAAGAAAUCUUACUCCCCUAAAUACUAUUAGGCUAAUCCAUGCCCCCAUGGAAGAAAUUAUGCUAAAAUGAGUAACAAGAAGGCCCGCCCUUCUCCAAGCACAAGUGCAAGCCAAACCGGACCAACCAUUGGCAACUAACGAACUCAACCCAAGAGAGCAAUGUGAACCAUAAAAAAAACAAGAAAAACCCACAACUCAACAAUCGUUAACCCCACACUGGAGUGCUAUUAAAGGAAAGACUAAAAGAAAAGGAAGGAACUCGGCAAACACAAGCCUCGCCUGUUUACCAAAAACAUCGCCUCCUGCAACGCAGCCAUGUAUAGGAGGUCCAGCCUGCCCAGUGACUACAAGUUCAACGGCCGCGGUAUUUUGACCGUGCAAAGGUAGCGCAAUCACUUGUCUUUUAAAUAGAGACCUGUAUGAAUGGCUAAACGAGGGCUUAACUGUCUCCCCUUUCAAGUCAGUGAAAUGAUCUGCCCGUGCAGAAGCG
rnacentral:rRNA from 1 species